rnacentral:lncRNA from 1 species
CCUUUACACUUUAUUUCUUUAUAUAUUUUUUUUGCAACAAGGUUCUUUGCUAAAACAUCAAAAAAAGAUUUCUUUGCUGAAACAUUAUUUCUUCCUAUUCUUCUUCUUUUUCAAAUAUAAAAUUAAAAAGUUGUUACUACAUUGAAAUAAGAUUAAAAAGGAAGAAGAAGAAGAAGAUGUCAAACAUCUUCACAAUUUUGCCACCAUAAGUCCAAAAGUUCAACUUAUUCAUAUGCAAAGGAAUCAUUCAAAUAAAUACUCCAAUCCAACAAAAAAAAACUAAAAAUUCAAAGAUUUUUCACUUUUCACACACCCAAAAACCUCUACAAAACUUCACAUAAAUUCCCCAUCCAUUCACCAAUGUUCCAAAUUUUCUCAACUUCACCAAUCGAGAUCGCAGAAAAACAGCACAAAUUCACCAACAUCAUCUGACCUUUAUCAACAAAAAUUAAAUUAAAUUAAUCAAAAUCCAACAACAAAAAUGAUUAAAUCAAUAAAAAAAACUGAUAUAGAUUCAAAAAAAAAAGAUAAUUCAGGUUAUUCUGGAAUGUUAAAGCUUGGAUCACCCCUACUAAAGCUCAAAAUUAUGAGUAAAGAGAGAGAAAAUAAAAAUGAAGAAAGAGAUGUUGAAAAAUACAGAUUUUAAUGAAAGAUAAGAGUACUAACCUUAUGAAGAUGAGCAAACAAUGUUUGAUUGAGCAAAAGGAAGAAAAAUCUACUCUUUCAUUGACAAAGUACACAGAAG